CCUACGGGUGGCAGCAGUGAGGAAUAUUGGUCAAUGGCCGCGAGCCUGAACCAGCCAAGUCGCGUGAAGGAUGACGGCCCUACGGGUUGUAAACUUCUUUUAUAAGGGAGUAAAGUGAGGCACGUGUGCCUUUUUGAAAGUACCUUAUGAAUAAGGAUCGGCUAACUCCGUGCCAGCAGCCGCGGUAAUACGGAGGAUCCGAGCGUUAUCCGGAUUUAUUGGGUUUAAAGGGUGCGUAGGCGGGUUGAUAAGUUAGUUGUGAAAGUUCGCGGCUCAACCGCAAAAUUGCAAUUGAUACUGGCAGGCUUGAGUGCAGUUAGGGUAGGCGGAAUGCGUGGUGUAGCGGUGAAAUGCUUAGAUAUCACGCAGAACUCCGAUUGCGAAGGCAGCUUACCAAGCUGCCACUGACGUUGAGGCACGAAAGCGUGGGUAUCAAACAGGAUUAGAUACCCCUGUAGUC
rnacentral:rRNA from 1 species